rnacentral:rRNA from 1 species
AUGCUUGGACAGGUGAUCGGGAACAAGUGGGACCACUACCUCGAUCUUCUCCAGGCCGAUUACACUGAGGGGGAUGCUCUGGAUGCCUUGGGUUUGGUACGCUACUGCUGCCGCCGUAUGCUCAUGACCCAUGUUGACCUCAUCGAGAAGUUGCUCAACUACAACAGUAAGUUGAUGCUGUUAUGUGACUAUGUAAGCUAUAUUCUGCUGCUUCCUUUGUUAUUUCUUUUGGAACUGACAGUAGUUCAUUUUCAGCCCUGGAGAAGACGGAGACAAGUUGAGUUAAUUGAACCCAUUCUGCCUCGAAACCCUUGUUCCUUUGUAGUUUUCAAGAUGGAUGGUAUGCUGUUUCUUAUGUCAGUGCUUAGGAGGUGCCAAGUGUGA